rnacentral:rRNA from 1 species
UACGUAGGGUGCGAGCGUUAAUCGGAAUUACUGGGCGUAAAGCGUGCGCAGGCGGUUCGUUGUGUCGGUGGUGAAAUCCCCGGGCUUAACCUGGGAAUGGCCAUGGAAACUGGCGAACUGGAGUGUGGCAGAGGGGGGUGGAAUUCCGCGUGUAGCAGUGAAAUGCGUAGAUAUCAGGAGGAACACCAGCGGUGUAGACGGCUUUCUGGACCAUUGCUGACGCUGAGACACGAAAGCGUGGGUAGCAAACAGG